AUACGGAGGGUGCGAGCGUUAUCCGGAUUUAUUGGGUUUAAAGGGAGCGUAGGCGGGAGCUUAAGUCAGCGGUUAAAUGGUGCGGCUCAACCGUGCCCUGCCGUUGAAACUGGGUUUCUUGAGAGUGCAAGAGGCGGAUGGAAUUCAUGGUGUAGCGGUGAAAUGCUUAGAUAUCAUGAAGAACUCCGAUUGCGAAGGCAGUCCGCUGGGGCACGUCUGACGCUGAUGCUCGAAGGUGCGGGAAUCAAACAGGAUUAGAUACCCUGGUAGUCCGCACGGUAAACGAUGAUUACCCGCUGUCGGCGGUAGACAGUCGGCGGCCAAGCGAAAGCGAUAAGUAAUCCACCUGGGGAGUACGCCGGCAGCGGUGAAACUCAAAUGAAUUGACGGGG
rnacentral:rRNA from 1 species